rnacentral:rRNA from 1 species
AUUGAACGCUGGCGGCAAGCCUAACACAUGCAAGUCGAACGAGUGGCGGACGGGUGAGUAAUGUAUGGGAAACUGCCUGAUGGAGGGGGAUAAAUACUGGAAACGGUAGCUAAUACCGCAUACCAUCGGAUGUGCCCCGAUGGGAGUAGCUAGUAGGUGGGGUAAAGGCUCACCUAGGCGACGAUCCCUAGCUGGUCUGAGAGGAUGACCCGCCUCACUUGAACUGAGUCACUGUCCAGACUCCUACGGGAGGGAGCAUUGGUGAAUAUUGCACAAUGGGCUCAAGCCUGAUUCAGCCAUGCCGCGUGUAUGGAGAAGGCCUUCGGGUUGUAAAGUACUUUCAGCGGGGAGGCGUUACCCGCAGGAGAAGCACCGGCUAACUCCGUGCCAGCCGCCGCGGUAAUUC